rnacentral:rRNA from 1 species
AGCAGUGGGGAUCUUCCGCAAUGGACGAAAGUCUGACGGAGCAACGCCGCGUGAGUGAUGAAGGUCUUCGGAUUGUAAAGCUCUGUUAAUCGGGACGAAAGAGCCUAGUGUGAAUAAUGCUAGGAAGUGACGGUACCGGAAUAGAAAGCCACGGCUAACUACGUGCCAGCAGCCGCGGUAAUUA